UAUGAUGGGGACAAUUUAGGAGGGA
rnacentral:piRNA from 1 species